CCCCGAAGAGGGGGACAACUCCUCGAAAGAGGAGCUAAUACCCCGGAGGUCUGAGUGGUUAGAGAGCUUAGACUGAAGCUGAGGUGCUUCGGGAGGGGCCUGCGGGCUAUCAGCUAGUUGGUGGGGUAAAGGCCUACCAAGGCGAAGACGGCUAGGGGGCGUGAGAGCGUGGUCCCCCACAAUGGAACUGAGACACGGUCCAUACUCCUACGGGAGGCAGCAGUGAGGAAUAUUGAGCAAUGGGCGCAAGCCUGACUCAGCAACGCCGCGUGGAUGAAGAAGGCCUUCGGGUUGUAAAAUCCUUUUCUGUGGGGCGAUGAUGACGGUACCACAGGAAUAAGUUCCGGCUAACUACGUGCCAGCAGCCGCGGUAAUACGUAGGGUGCGAGCGUUAAUCGGAAUUACUGGGCGUAAAGCGUGCGCAGGCGGUUUUGUAAGACAGAUGUGAAAUCCCCGGGCUUAACCUGGGAACUGCGUUUGUGACUGCAAGGCUGGAGUACGGCAGAGGGGGGUGGAAUUCCACGUGUAGCAGUGAAAUGCGUAGAGAUGUGGAGGAACACCGAUGGCGAAGGCAGCCCCCUGGGCCUGUACUGACGCUCAUGCACGAAAGCGUGGGGAGCAAACAGGAUUAGAUACCCUGGUAGUCCACGCCCUAAACGAUGUCGACUAGUUGUUCGGUGCAGCAAUGCGCUGAGUAACGCAGCUAACGCGUGAAGUCGACCGCCUGGGGAGUACGGCCGCAAGGUUAAAACUCAAAGGAAUUGACGGGGACCCGCACAAGCGGUGGAUGAUGUGGAUUAAUUCGAUGCAACGCGAAAAACCUUACC
rnacentral:rRNA from 1 species